CCUCUCAAACCCUGCCCAUCAACAAGCUAAGGGUCACCUGAGUGCAGCGUGAGUGUUCACCCUGGUCCCCGGCGACUGAAAAGGGCAUUUCCUGGAAGCGUGGGGGUUGGCCAUUUCAUCGCCGUGAAGUGUUCAGAGUGUGCGAGUCACGGUUGCCUAGUUACUGGUUUAUGUUUGGCAAUGGAAAAGCUGCUCAGUCCAGGUACAGUUGAACGCGGGCUGAUUAUUUACUCGGGGUGACCUUCUCCCAGCUGCACACUCGCUGUUGAUUUAAUGCUUAACCCUGACAUUUUUUUUCUCCCCUUCUCCUUGCUGGUAGUGGAGGUUUCUACAUCCAUUCCUUUUAGGUCAAGAGAAUUCUGAGGUACACCCCACCAGACAACACACCCAUUCCUUUGUGGCCGAAGGAAAGGGAAGAUUGGAAGGUCAUUACAGGACUCUUGCUCAUCCAAGGACAAUGGAAUUCUAAGCGUCAGGAAGUUACUUAUCCGUCAUCCCUUACAACCGCAUGGUAUGGAUGCAUGUCUUUAAUGAUCCCAGCACGCGGGAAGCAGAGGACUGCAUUUUGAAUCACUUUGGAAACAAGAUUCUGGGUGUAUCUGUGACAGUAUUUCCAGAACUGAGGAGGCAAGACCCACUCUGAGGACCCCACCACAUGAACUGAGGUCCCCAGACUGAAUAAUGAGAAAGUCAGUUGGGCCAUCACUAGUUCUCUCUCUCCUCUUCCUUCCCCCUUCUUUCCUCCCUCCCUCUCCCUUCUGACUGCAGACACAACAUGACCAGUCACCUCCCGGGCCUGCGUCUUCCCUGGGCUAUCUCUCCUCGAACUAAAAUAAACUCUUUUUAAUGUGCUUCUUAUCUGGCAUUUGCUCUCAGCAACAAGAAACGUUGCCAAUAAUCUGCAAAA